UACGGGGGGAGCAAGCGUUGUUCGGAUUUACUGGGCGUAAAGGGCUCGUAGGCGGUUUGUCGCGUCGGGAGUGAAAACUCAGGGCUUAACCCUGAGCCUGCUUCCGAUACGGGCAGACUAGAGGUAUGCAGGGGAGAACGGAAUUCCUGGUGUAGCGGUGAAAUGCGCAGAUAUCAGGAGGAACACCGGUGGCGAAGGCGGUUCUCUGGGCAUUACCUGACGCUGAGGAGCGAAAGUGUGGGGAGCGAACAGG
rnacentral:rRNA from 1 species